rnacentral:rRNA from 1 species
CAUGCAAGUCGAGCGAGAAAGGGAACUUCGGUUCCUGAGUACAGCGGCGAACGGGUGAGUAAUACGUGGGUGAUCUACCCCUAGGGUGGGAAUAACCCGGGGAAACCCGGGCUAAUACCGAAUAAGACCACAGGAGGCAACUCCAGGGGUCAAAGGGAGCUUCGGCCCCCCCCAAGGGAUGAGCCCGCGGCCUAUCAGCUUGUUGGUGGGGUAAAGGCCCACCAAGGCAAAGACGGGUAGCUGGUCUGAGAGGAUGACCAGUCACACGGGGACUGAGACACGGCCCCGACUCCUACGGGAGGCAGCAGUGGGGAAUAUUGGACAAUGGGGGAAACCCUGAUCCAGCGACGCCGCGUGGGUGAUGAAGGCUUUCGGGUCGUAAAGCCCUGUCAGGAGGAAAGAACGCUCCUAUAGCGAAUAGCUAUAGGAAGUGACGGUACCUCCAAAGGAAGCACCGGCCAACUCCGUGCCAGCAGCCGCGGUAAGACGGAGGGUGCGAGCGUUGCUCGGAAUCACUGGGCGUAAAGGGUGCGUAGGCGGUCCCUCAAGUCUGGCGUGAAAGCCCAGGGCUCACCCCUGGAAGUGCGCUAGAAACUGAUGGACUUGAGUACCGGAGGGGAGAGUGGAAUUCCCGGUGUAGCGGUGAAAUGCGUAGAUAUCGGGAGGAAUACCGGUGGCGAAAGCGACUCUCUGGACGGUUACUGACG